UAUCCUACGGGAGGCAGCAGUGGGGAAUAUUGCACAAUGGGCGCAAGCCUGAUGCAGCCAUGCCGCGUGUGUGAAGAAGGCCUUCGGGUUGUAAAGCACUUUCAGCGAGGAGGAAGGCAUCACACUUAAUACGUGUGGUGAUGACGUACUCGCAGAGAGCCCGCCGGCCCCC
rnacentral:rRNA from 1 species